AGCGAACGCUGGCGGCAGGCCUAACACAUGCAAGUCGAACGAACCCUUCGGGGUUAGUGGCGGACGGGUGAGUAACACGUGGGCAACCUGCCUUAUAGAGGGGGAUAGCCUUCCGAAAGGAAGAUUAAUACCGCAUAACAUCAGAUUAUCGCAUGGUAGACUGAUCAAAGGAGCAAUCCGCUAUAAGAUGGGCCCGCGUCGCAUUAGCUAGUUGGUGAGGUAACGGCUCACCAAGGCGACGAUGCGUAGCCGACCCGAGAGGGUGAUCGGCCACAUUGGGACUGAGACACGGCCCAGACUCCUACGGGAGGCAGCAGUGGGGAAUAUUGCACAAUGGGGGAAACCCUGAUGCAGCAACGCCGCGUGAGUGAUGAAGGCCUUCGGGUUGUAAAGCUCUUUGAUCAGGGACGAUAAUGACGGUACCUGAAGAACAAGCCACGGCUAACUACGUGCCAGCAGCCGCAGUAAAAC
rnacentral:rRNA from 1 species